rnacentral:rRNA from 1 species
UACGUAGGUGGCGAGCGUUAUCCGGAAUUAUUGGGCGUAAAGAGCGCGCAGGUGGUUGAUUAAGUCUGAUGUGAAAGCCCACGGCUUAACCGUGGAGGGUCAUUGGAAACUGGUCAACUUGAGUGCAGAAGAGGGAAGUGGAAUUCCUGGUGGAGCGGUAAAAUGCGCAGAGAUCAGGAGGAACACCGGUGGCGAAGGCGGUUUUCUGGCUGACAACUGACGCUGAGGCGCGAAAGCGUGGGGAGCAAACAGGAUUAGAUACCCUGGUA